GGCCCUAUAGCUCAGUUGGCAGAGCGUUUGCCUGUUAAGCAAAAUGUCGAAGGUUCGAGUCCUUCUGGGGCCG
rnacentral:tRNA from 1 species